rnacentral:rRNA from 1 species
UGUGCUAAUACCGCAUAAUCUCUCAGGAGAAAAGCAGGGGAUCGCAAGACCUUGCGCUUUAGGAGCGGCCGAUGCCUGAUUAGCUUGUUGGUAGGGUAAAAGCUUACCAAGGCUUCGAUCAGUAGCUGGUCUGAGAGGACGACCAGCCACACUGGGACUGAGACACGGCCCAGACUCCUACGGGAGGCAGCAGUGGGGAAUUUUGGACAAUGGGGGAAACCCUGAUCCAGUCAUGCCGCGUGAGUGAAGAAGGCCUUCGGGUUGUAAAGCUCUUUCAGCCGGAACGAAACGGU